CGGGGCUCCUGCUUGUUCCUGGCCCUUGCCUGCUCGUGGAGCGAGAGGGCCAGGUCAGCAGCAGCGGGUUGGGUGGCUGCAACUGCACCAGGGAGGGCAGAUCCUGCCUGUUCCCAGCCCCUUCCAAGAGCACAGGAAGGCUCGGAUCCACAGCUGCAGUUUUGGCUGAUGUAGCCCCGCUACGUAUUGCAGGAGGGUGGGGCUCCUGCCUGUUACGUGAAGCAGGGGGCCUGGAUCUGCUGCCGAGGUUUGAGGUUUGGGCGGCUGCAGUGGCACCCGGGAAGUUUCUGCCCCAAAUCAGAAGGAGUGGGGCUCCCACUGACUCCACAGAGUGUGCAGCCCCAGCCCUCCUCUCUGCUGCAGCCGGGGUAAUGGCAGCAGCUGUUGCCAUCAACUGCAUUUGGAAAUAGAACCUUAAAAGAGGUACUUAAGUUAAAAUGUGGUUUUAGGGUGGGUUCUAACUCAAUACCACUGUGCCCUUAUAAAAAGAGGAGAUUAGGACACAGUCGACAAAGAGGAUGACCAUGUGAGGACGCAGCAAAAAGGCGACCACCUGGGAGCCAAGGAGAGAGGCCUCAGAAGAAACAAAACCUGCCAACCCCUUGAACUCAGACUCUCAGCCUCCAAAAUUGUGAGAAAAUUCUUCUGUUGUUUAAACCAUCCAGUCUGUAGCAUUUUGCUAUGGCAGCCGUAGAAAACUCAUACAAAGGGUAACAGCAAGAGUCUAUUUGUCAAGGUUCUCACUCUGUCACCCAGUGGCACAGGCUGGAAGGCAAUGAUGUGAUCACAACUCACUGAAGCCUUGAACUCCUGAACUCAAGAGAUCCUCCCUUCAGCCUCCCGAGUAGCCAGGACUACAGAUCUGCUUCAGAAAGCUACAGCAGAGGCAUCCGUCAUUAUUACUGUGAAGACAUUCAUGCUUGGAGGUGAAGCAAUUGUCUCAUGAAGUAAGAAUCCUGUUUGCAUACUUCUUUAUGGGCAACUUGUUUUAUUGCACUUAGCAGAUACUGAAUUUUUGCAGACACAAGUUUUAUGGUAACUAUGACUGAGCAAGUCUAUUGACACUAUUUUUCCAACAGCAUGUGUUUACUUCCUGUCUUUGUGUCACACUUUGAUAAUUUACACGAUUUUCAAUUUAUUAUUAUUAUUGUAUCUGUUACGGUGAUCAGUGAUCAAUGACCUUUGAUAAUACUAUUGUAAUUGUUUCAGGGUGCCAUGAACUGUGCCCGUAUAAGACAGCAGAUUUAAUCAAUAAAUGUUGUUCAUAUUCUGUCUGCUUCAGUGACAGACCACUUCCCUGUCUCUCUCCCUCUUCUUGGGCCUCCCUAUUCUCUAACUUUAACAAUAUUAAAAUCAGACCAAUUAAGGAGGCUGGGACCCGUGGCUCACACCUGUAAUCCCAGCACUUUGGGAGGCUGAGGCAUGUGGAUCAUGAGGUCAGGAGAUUGAGACCAUUCUGGCCAACAUGGUGAAACCCUGUCUCUACUAAAAAUACAAAAAAAUUAGUUGGGCAUGGUGGCAUGUACCUAUAGUCUCAGUUACUCAGGAAGCUGAAGCAGGAGAAUAGCUUGAACCCGGGAGGUGGAGUUUGCAGUGAGCAGAGAUUGCGCUACUUCACUCCAGCCUGGCAACAGAGUGAGACUCCGUCUCAAAAACAAACAAACAACAACAAAAAUUAGACCAAUUAAAAUCCCUACAGUGGCCUCUAAGUGUUCAAGUGAGAGGAAGAAUCACACAUCUCUCACUUUAAGUCAAAAGCUAGAAAUGAUUAAGCUUACUGUGAAAGGCAUGUUGAAACUCAAGAUAGGCUGAAAUCUAGGCCUCUUGCCCCAACCAGUUAGCUAAGUUGUGAAUGUAAAGGAAGAGUUUUUAAGAGAAAUUAAAGUGCUACUCCUGUGAACACAUGAAUAAGUAAGCAAAACAGCAUUAUUGUUGAUAUGGAGAAAAUUUUAGUGGUCGGGAUAGAAGAUCAAACCAGCUACAACAUUCCUUUAAACUAAAGCCUAGUCCAGAGCAAGAAUCUAAAUAUCUUCAAUUCUAUGAAAGUUGAGAAAAGUGAGGAAGCUGCAGAAGAAAAGUUGGAAACUGACAGAGGUUGGUCCAUAAGUCCUAAGAUUUAAGGAAUAAAACUGUCUGCGUAACAUCAACGUGUAAGGUGAAGCAGCAAGUGCUGACGUAGACACUGCAGCAAAUUGUCCAGAAAGACCUAGCUAAGAUGUUUGAUGAAGGUGGCUACAAUACACAACAGAUUUUCAAUGUAGAUGAAAAAGCUUUCUAUUGGAAGAAGAUGCCAUCUAGAACUUUCAGAGCUACAAAGGAGAAGUCACUGCCUGGCUUCAAAGUUUCAAAGGACAGACUUACUCUUUUAUGAGGUGCUAAGGCAGCUCAUGACUUUAAGUUGAAGCCAAUGCUCAUUUACCAUUCUGAAAAUCCUAGGGCCCUAAAGAAUUACUCUAAAUGUACUCUGCCUGUGUGCUAUAAAUGGAACAAUGAUGCCUGGAUGACAGUACAUCUGCUUACAGCGUGUUUUACUUAAUAUUUUAAGCCCACUGUUGAGACCUACUGCUCAGAAAAAAAGAUUCCUUUCAAAAUAUUGCUGCUCACUGCCAAGACAGCUAGUGCCCCAAGAGCUCUGAUGAAGAUGUAUGAGAAGAUUAAUGUUGUUUUCGUGCCUAAUAACACCUCCAUUCUGCAGCCCAUGGAUUAAGAAGUAAUUUUAUAAGGCUGUAGCUGCCAUAGAUAUUAAUUCCUC
rnacentral:lncRNA from 1 species